UACGUAGGGGGCAAGCGUUAUCCGGAAUUACUGGGUGUAAAGGGAGCGUAGACGGUAAUGUAAGUCUGGAGUGAAAGCCCAAGGCUCAACCAUGGGACUGCUUUGGAAACUGUAAAACUGGAGUGCAGGAGAGGUAAGCGGAAUUCCUAGUGUAGCGGUGAAAUGCGUAGAUAUUAGGAGGAACACCAGUGGCGAAGGCGGCUUACUGGACUGUAACUGACGUUGAGGCUCGAAGGCGUGGGGAGCAAACAGG
rnacentral:rRNA from 1 species